rnacentral:rRNA from 1 species
ACUGAAUAGAUACCCAGGUAGUCCAUGCUGUAAACGAUGAGAACUAGAUGUUAGGGGGCAUGACCUCUUAGUAUCGAAGCUAACGCGAUAAGUUCUCCGCCUGGGGAGUACGGCCGCAAGGUUAAAACUCAAAGAAAUUGACGGGGGCCCGCACAAGCGGUGGAGCAUGUGGUUUAGUUCGAUGCAACGCGAAGAACCUUACCUACCUUUGAAUCCACGGAACCUAGCAGAGAUGUUGGGGUGCCUUCGGGAACCGUGAGACAGGUGCUGCAUGGCUGUCGUCAGCUCGUGUCGUGAGAUGUUGGGUUAAGUCCCGUAACGAGCGCAACCCUUGUCCUUAGUUGCCAUCAGGUUAUGCUGGGCACUUUAAGGAGACUGCCGGUGAUAAACCGGAGGAAGGUGGGGAUGACGUCAAGUCCUCAUGGCCCUUACAGGUAGGGCUACACACGUGCUACAAUGGGCAGUACAGAGGGAAGCCAACCCGGCGAGGGGUAGCGAAUCUCAUAAAGCUGUUCGUAGUCCGGAUUGGAGU